UAACCUGGUUGAUCCUGCCAGUAGUGUAUGCUUCUCCUAAAGACUAAGCCAUGCAUGCCUUCGAAUAAGAGGAAGCAAUUCUCUCUGAAUCUGCGAACGGCUCCGCAAACCAGUUGUAAACUAUAGCAAGCAAGCCUGUGGUUGGGCUUCGGCUCGACCAUGGGUAACAUGGAUAACCCUGGUAAUUCUGAGGCUAAUACAAGAACGUACAACCUGGCUAACCGGCAACGGAAGGCUGGGGAACGUGCAACGUAUCGUAAUGGAUACCGGGAAAGGGUGCACGUUUGGACCGCGCUAAAGACAGUCUUCGGUAAGCCCUUGCGGGCAAGCCUUGGCCUGAGCGGCUCUUGCGGUGUGCUUCUGACCUAUCAACUAGACGGCAGCGUAAGGGACAUGCUAUGGUUACAACGGGUACAGAGGAUAAGGGUUCGAUCCUGGAGAGUGGGCCUGAGAGAUUG
rnacentral:rRNA from 1 species